UACGUAGGUGGCAAGCGUUAUCCGGAUUUAUUGGGCGUAAAGGGAACGCAGGCGGUCUUUUAAGUCUGAUGUGAAAGCCUUCGGCUUAACCGGAGUAGUGCAUUGGAAACUGGGAGACUUGAGUGCAGAAGAGGAGAGUGGAACUCCAUGUGUAGCGGUGAAAUGCGUAGAUAUAUGGAAGAACACCAGUGGCGAAAGCGGCUCUCUGGUCUGUAACUGACGCUAAGGUUCGAAAGCGUGGGUAGCAAACAGG
rnacentral:rRNA from 1 species